GGUUUCCAUAUCGUAGACGAGAGAGCCAUGUAGAGUAAGCGUCGCCAUAGUCCCAUGGUUUCCAAAUUAAAUUAGUAUCUGUCCAGGAUAUAUUCAAAAACCCAACAAUUGAAAGCUGACCCUUGACCUCAUCUAGGUCUGCCAAGGUCACCAAGUUUAUUCCCACAUAUACCUUGGUAGGGUUCUCCAUAUUACUUUCUGG
rnacentral:lncRNA from 1 species